UUUAUGUAAAUGUUAAUCUGUAUGAUAAUAGGAGAAAUUACUCCGGAGUUAACAGAAUGAUAUUUUUUAUAUAGUUGUUAUAUUAGAAAAAAUAUUACAUCGAUGUUGUAUUUAUAUUAGUCAAGGGGUAGAGAAUUUGAUGUUUUAGACUGUUCUUCUAUGAGAAAAUAUAACGUGAUAUUAGUUU
rnacentral:rRNA from 1 species